AUCUACCUGACGAGUCCCAAAUACGACGAAACGUGCGUGCCGGAU
rnacentral:hammerhead_ribozyme from 1 species